CUAGAUUUGGUUCCUUCUCCCUGCUGGGAAAGAAUGGACUGAAUAAAGAGGGACCCGUUGGCAAUACGAUUGCAUAAAAUAUUUUGCGUUCAAUUUUAAUGGUUCAAAGAACGUCAGGCAAAAUGGUUGGCCCUCACACAUGUGAAUCAAAUCCGGCCCUCUUUGAAAAGUUUGGAUACUUUCCUUAAAGGGAAUCUGGUCAACAGGACUACAGUUUGUUUUGAGUAAUUCCCUUCACACUUUUAGCAGUAAACUGCUUUCCUAGAGUUAGGUGUUUACAUGACACCUGGGGUUAUGUCUACUGGCCACUUAUGUGACUGCUAGCGGUGUUUCCUGGGGUCACUUGACUGAUGCUCCUGAUGUCUCCAAUGCACGCAGAUCAGGGGCAAAUCCAUUGGCCGCAUACUGGGAUAAAAUUUUGAUAUAUUUAAGGGGCUAGAUGGUGUCACUGUGCCAUUUGUUCCUGGACCAAUGCAUAAUUUAACUGUGGGACUCAAACAACAUGAUUGAAUUCAAUCAUGUACUAAAAUUGGCCCAAGUCAUAGGAUUUAUGCACAAAGACCUUUAACUUUAAACUUGGUUUGUAGUUAAAGUUCAGUCAAAUGCUUCAGCUGAACUACUGACACUGCUAAAGAUGCAGAUGGCUAGGUACCCAAAUCUCUAGUCUAACUCAAGACAUGCAGGUGGACCUUUCCUGGUCUAUGGGAAGUGGUAUUUAUGCAGUUCUGGCGCUGUCUUAGGGAAGAUUGUAAUGCAAAAUUUCUUUAUGCAAUAUCUUGCCUGGACACCAAUCCCUGUCAGGAAAGCAGCAUAGUACUCCACCAGUGUCCCUGAAUUAAACAAUCUGGGCACGCUUUACAGGGUUAACAAGCCUAUAAUGUUUGUAUGGGACAGAACUGCUAUUCCAUGCUUUUCCCACAAACUGAGGGAAUGCAGGUUUACACUUAUGAAGGCCAACAAAUUCUGCCGUAGUAGACAAACAGGCACUUAUUUGUAACCAGAUUAGUUGGCCGCUAAAGAACAGUAUGUAAGGGCCCUGCUCAAUGAGCCCACAUUCUGGGAGUGGGUUAGUGAUACAUAGGAUACAUAUUUUUAUAUAUGACCAUUGCAGGAUAGUACUGGGGAAGGAAAGUG